AGAAUCAACGCUGGCGGCGUGCCUAACACAUGCAAGUCGAACGAGAAAGUGGAGCAAUCCAUGAGUAAAGUGGCGCACGGGUGAGUAACACGUGACUAACCUACCCUUGAGUGGGGAAUAACUGAGGGAAACCUUGGCUAAUACCGCAUAAUACCUACGGGUCAAAGGAGCAAUUCGCUUAAGGAGGGGUCGCGGCAGAUUAGCUAGUUGGCGGGGUAAUGGCCCACCAAGGCAGUGAUCUGUA
rnacentral:rRNA from 1 species